UACGGGGGGGCAAGCGUUGUUCGGAAUUACUGGGCGUAAAGGGCGCGUAGGCGGUUGGAUAAGUCAGCUGUGAAAACCACGGGCUCAACCUGGGAAUGGCGAUGGAUACUGGCGAGCUAGAGUGUGUCAGAGGAUGGUGGAAUUCCCGGUGUAGCGGUGAAAUGCGCAGAUAUCAGGAGGAACACCGGUAGGCGAAGGCGGGUCUCUGGGCCGAUACUGACGCUGAGGAGCGAAAGCGUGGGGAGCGAACAGG
rnacentral:rRNA from 1 species